GACGAACGCUGGCGGCGUGCCUAAUACAUGCAAGUUGAGCGAUGAAGAUUGGUGCUUGCACCUAUUUGAAGAGCAGCGAACGGGUGAGUAACGCGUGGGGAAUCUGCCUUUGAGCGGGGGACAACAUUUGGAAACGAAUGCUAAUACCGCAUAACAACUUUAAACAUAAGUUUUAAGUUUGAAAGAUGCAAUUGCAUCACUCAAAGAUGAUCCCGCGUUGUAUUAGCUAGUUGGUGAGGUAAAGGCUCACCAAGGCGAUGAUACAUAGCCGACCUGAGAGGGGGAUCGGCCACAUUGGGACUGAGACACGGCCCAAACUCCUGCGGGAGGCAGCAGUAGGGAAUAUUCGGCAAUGGACGAAAGUCUGGCCGAGCAACGCCGCGUGAGUGAAGAAGGUUUUCGGAUCGGAAAACUCUGUUGGUAGAGAAGAACGUGGGUGAGAGUGGAAAGCGCAUCAAGUGACGGUAACUACCCAGAAAGGGACGGCUAACUACGUG
rnacentral:rRNA from 1 species